GAGGAGGCUUGAGUGCAGAUUUUAAUUAACGUGCUUUAUUGAAGUCUUUCAGAGCAAUCAACUUUCCCGUGGUUAUUUGACAUAGGUCCCUUGUUGUUUCAAAUAUCUUUCUCAUUUCAGAAGUCUGGAGUUGGUGAACAGGUCCUGUAAUUCAAAUUCAGCGAUAUGCAUGAAGCCAUUCCAGAAGUCUGGCUCCACAGAGCUUUGCAUUUAGCUUCCUGAUGCAAGUGCUUGAUAACAAAACUGUAACUUUUUAUACAGUUUUGACACAGAACACAAUUAAAAGCCAUAUUCAAAAGUUACAGCAGAGUGGAGAAGAAUUUGGAUGUCAAAGUUUUCAGUGCUAUGUUGGGGAUUUAGAGUAUCAACAAUGAGGUUUGAAUGUUUAUUACAUUAUGUGUAUGUAGUAGUACCUUACUGUGUUAAGUUGCAAUUUCCUGAUAACUAAUACAACAGA
rnacentral:lncRNA from 1 species